rnacentral:rRNA from 1 species
CAGUCGCCGCGGUAAUACGAGGGGGGCAAGCGUUGUUCGGAAUUAUUGGGCGUAAAGGGUGCGUAGGCGGCUUGACAAGUCUUGUGUGAAAUCUAUGGGCUCAACCCAUAGUCUGCACGGGAAACUGUCGGGCUUGAGAAUGGGAGAGGUGAGUGGAAUUUCCGGUGUAGCGGUGAAAUGCGUAGAUAUCGGAAGGAACACCUGUGGCGAAAGCGGCUCACUGGACCAUUUCUGACGCUGAUGCACGAAAGCGUGGGGAGCAAACAGGAUUAGAUACCCGCGUAGUCCCUGUCCUUAUACC